rnacentral:rRNA from 1 species
AACGAACGCUGGCGGCAUGCCUAACACAUGCAAGUCGAACGAGAUCUUCGGGUCUAGUGGCGCACGGGUGCGUAACGCGUGGGAAUCUGCCCUUUGGUUCGGAAUAACAGUUGGAAACGACUGCUAAUACCGGAUGAUGAAAGUCCAAAGAUUUAUCGCCAGAGGAUGAGCCCGCGUAGGAUUAGCUAGUUGGUGUGGUAAAGGCGCACCAAGGCGACGAUCCUUAGCUGGUCUGAGAGGAUGAUCAGCCACACUGGGACUGAGACACGGCCCAGACUCCUACGGGAGGCAGCAGUGGGGAAUAUUGGACAAUGGGCGAAAGCCUGAUCCAGCAAUGCCGCGUGAGUGAUGAAGGCCUUAGGGUUGUAAAGCUCUUUUACCCGGGAUGAUAAUGACAGUACCGGGAGAAUAAGCUCCGGCUAACUCCGUGCCAGCCGCCGCUGUAA